AUUUUUUUUUGUUAAUCGUCUAAUCAGAAUCUUAGGGUUAGAACUUUCGGGUGACAUAUCUCUUUGCAACACUUGGAUUUUGUUCCAGUUCAAAACCAGGUGUUAUUCCCCUACAAAUCACCAGAGUGAUUGUGGCCAGAAUAACACCCGGGUUACCGGUAGACAGUUCCUAUCAUUUAGGUCCCCAAACUCUUAAUUUCCAAAUCCCCGAACUUGUCUUGCGAUGUCAUUCAAGUUUCUGAACUUAUCAAAACUCGCAAAAUACAUUUUCAUGUUCCUGAACUUAUCACGGGUGUCAUCUAGCUCCUGAACUUUAUUGGCUCGGGGUGACACCCGGGUCUCUAAGCGCAGCCAGGAGUCCUGCGGCCAGCAAGUGUGGCUAGCUUUGUGCGGAGUUGUCUAAAACUGUUGACUGGGGAGGGCAGCGGCCUAGGUUGAAGCCAAAGGAGAAGAGAGCAUGGGAGGGAAAGGGGUGAGAAUCGAGAGGAGUCCUUAUUCUCCCUAACGUUUUAGACUAGUGUUGACGCUAGUGAUGAGUGAAAUAAUGCAUUUUGAGAUUAUGAGGAUCUGAAUGACAUCCGAGGACGAGUUCAAGUCGUUCCCCAGGAGAACCGUCAAUUGUGUUGAUGCACACAAAUCAUUUUGCGUGAACACACAAAUAUAUGCUUCUAUAUUACUGACGAUAAAGAUAAGACCUCGAUUACUACAAAGCAAUGACGAGUGAUUUCCGAGCAAACCAACAAAGAGAUAUUGUCUUGAUUACGACAAGGCAACAACAAAUGGUUUUCAAGCAAACCAACAAAGAGCGCUCGUUUACGCAGAAGAACACGACCUAUUUACAAGCUAAUCAGGAUAAAAGAAUAGCUAAGCCUAGGAAUAAGUAAGAACAAGAAAAUAGUAGAUGUAUUUUUAGCUGUCACCCUUAUAUAUAAAGGCUGCUAGUCUUUGCCGUUGCAUUAGGAUUUCUUUACAAAAAUUGAUCGCAUAUAAUUUGGUAUAACAAUGCUAGCUCCGUGCAAAUAUGCACAUUGCCUUGUCAAAAUAAUUCAGUGCACUUGACGAUCUCAAAGCCACCUUCAUAAUGCCAAAGACUUAACUGGAUAAGUGGAUAUUGAUCGAGCUUGCCUUUUUGCACCCCCACAUAGAUUCCGAUGCGGAUUCUUCCAUUUGACCCUGUUGCAAUUCUUGAAUAGUAUGUGUUGACGACCAAAAAUGGCACGGCCCGAUAUGUGUGAGGCUAAGAUCAUAAUUGCUUGGUACUAAUUCUUGGUAUUUUGCAAAAUUUGGCUUGAAUAUGAAUUGUGCAGGACAAAAGGAUUAUUUUGGAUGCUCUGGACGUGAUUUUGUUAAAAGGGACAAAUAAGCACCUGUAACAACACCAAAAUUAGCAGAUAUGGCUGAUAUGACAAAGCCAACCGGUUUGACCAGCCUACUGAAGCGAUCUGACCAGUUAUUGGUCCUGUAGCCGAUCCGGCAAUCCAGACCGGUCACCCAACCAGUCAGAUCAAAGUGCUCAAAAUGCAAAAUGUACUUCACCAUUGCGUAGAUCUCGUCAAGACGAUCAAAAUGCAUAUGUGGAACGUCUAAUUUGGAGUCCGGAUGAGAGAGUUAUGGCUUCGACAAGAUUCACCCUGGGAUGACCGGUCAGACCGGUUUGGAUGGGCGGUCUGACCGGUCCAUCCAGCCUAAUCCGAGUUAGGAGUUGUAUUUUGACACGGGAUUUAUAUAACCUUCGACUCCUACUUGGGCAAGAUUUCCCCACCCUAUAAAUAUAAAGGGCCACGGCCGAUUGAGGGCAUCCCAAUCGAACCAAUCUACAAUUUAUUUUUAUCUCCUAAACCCUAAUCCUUUUCCAACCUCCAUGCUGUUCAUCUACUGUUCUCCACAACCAUAGAGGGUGUUCUAGGCUUGCUGGUCGACCUAGGGCACGCCAGCGAUGUCCACGCCCUGACGAGGUCCCUCCCGAGCGAGAGCUUCGAUGGCCUUUGCUAGUUUGCUCGUAAACUAGUCGUUUUUUUGCCACGUAAGUGCGUUGGUUAUCUCUUUGCUGGUUUGCUCAUGAAUCUAGCCGUCCUCCACCAUGUAAGUGUGGCAAUUACCCCCUCGAACGACUAACUCGAGCCAAAACCCAGAAAACCGGUCUGUCCAGGUUGCUGGAUCAGUCUAACCGGCCUGUACAGCAUCUUGACUAUUCGGUCUGUUCGCGACCUGCGCGAUCUAGCGCACUCAUGUGUUGGCCUAAAAAAACCCUCAGCGGAUAAUCUUAAUUGCCAAGACACUAAUUUGGCCGUCCAGACAAAUCUACUAGCUAAAUUAUGCAUGUCUGUCCAAAUUACAAUAGGAGCCAAAUUAAUUUUGUUUGUCAACACGUCGCUGUGUUGGGACGGGUAGGAGAGGACCAGAGAUAAGAUGGGAUGAGAGGAGAGUGAGUGGUCAUCCGUCUCUGCUGUGUUGGGUUGGUACAGGUGGGAGAGGACCAGAGAUAAUGGGAUGAGAGGAGAGUGAGUGAUCAAAAUAUCUGCUGACCAGAUGUGGAUGGGGUACUGACGAGCAUCAGCAAUUACCAUUGUACUCCCUCACAACAAGUAGGGCUGGAGAUCGACAUGCAGACGUGUUUUGUUCGUUGCGAGCGACUGAGCUCGGAGAACACGUGCUCAAAACUGAGCUCGAUCCGCAAUGAAAAUUCGCUAAUAUUGCCUAUAAAUCAAGCCACAGCCGGCGCCAUGUCGAAUCGAAUACUAGAAAGCCGCCGCAGCAAUGGAAGACAAGCAGCUUCUCGCCGUGGCCGUGGCCGUGCUGCUCGUCGUCGUCCUCUGCAAGCGGCGGAAGCCCAGGCCCAACCUGCCUCCCGGCCCGUGGACGCUGCCGGUGAUCGGCAGCCUCCACCACCUGAUGCGCAGCCCGCUGCUGUUCCGUGUCCUGCGCGGCCUGGCGCACAAGCACGGGCCGCUCAUGGCGAUCCGCCUCGGCGAGGUGCCCGCGGUGGUGGCGUCGUCGGUGGAGGCGGCGCAGGCGAUCCUCAAGACGCACGACGCCGCGUUCGCCGACCGGUUCGCCCCCGCCACCUUCGCCACGGCCGCCUACGACGCCACCGACCUGAUACUCUCGCCCUACGGCGAGCGGUGGCGCCAGCUCCGCAAGGUCGUCGUGCAGGAGAUGCUCACCGCCGCCCGGGUGCAGUCGUUCAGGCACAUCCGCUAGGAGGAGGUGGCGCGGUUCCUGCACGACGUCGCCGCCUCCGCCGCCGCCGCCGCCGCCGUGGACUUCUCCAAGGGGGUCUUGAAGCUCGUCAACGACACCUUCGUGAGGGAGUGCGUCGGCAGCCGGUGCAAGUACCAGGACGAGUACCUCGACGCCAUCCACGGGGCGAUUCGCCUGUCGUCGGGGAUCACCGUCGCCGACCUCUACCCGUCUUCCAAGAUGAUGCAGAUGCUCGGCACGGCGCCGCGCAAGGCUCUCGCGUGCCGGCGGAGGAUUGACCGCAUCCUCAAGCAGAUCAUCCAGGAGAACAAGGAAGCCAUCACGGACCACGAGAGCUUCGUUUCCGUCCUGCUCAGGCUCCAGAACGAGGGCGGCAUGCCCAUCGAGCUCACCGACGAGACCAUCACGGCUCUCAUGUUUGUAAGUCGAUCUAGGAAGCUGCUGAUGAAUACCUGCUCGUGCACAGUCAUAUAUAAGUAUCGUUUCUUCUUCUAGGACAUGUUGGGUGCGGGCAGCGACACCUCGUCGACCACUCUGAACUGGGCCAUGACGGAACUGAUCCGCUCCCCGGCGGCCAUGGCCAAGGCGCAGGCCGAGGUGCGAGAGGCCUUCAAAGGGAAGAGCAACGUCACCGAGGAUGACGUCGCCGGGCUUAGCUACCUCAAGCUAGUGUUCAAAGAAACCCUAAGGCUGCAUCCCACUUCACCUCUCCUGAUCCCACGUAAAUGCCGGGAGACGACUCAAGUCAUGGGCUACGACAUCCCCAAGGGCACAACCGUGUUCGUCAAUGUGUGGGCAAUUGGUAGGGACCCUAUGUACUGGGACGAUGCUGAGGAGUUCAAGCCAGAACGGUUCGAGACCAAUAACCUAGAUUUCCGAGGGACAAACUAUGAGUUCCUCCCGUUCGGUGCCGGCCGUCGUAUGUGCCCGGGCAUCAACCUUGGGCUGGCCAACAUAGAGCUUGCACUGGCAAGCCUUCUCUACCACUUCGAUUGGAAGCUUCCUCAGGGAAUGGAGCCUAAAGAUGUCGACGUAUGGGAGACUGUAGGAGUGGUUGCAAGUAAGAAAACAAGCCUUAUGUUGCAUCCCGUUACUUUCAUUCCUCCACCUGUUGCUUAAAAAGUUAAGGUACACAUGCAUAAUAGUAUGGUGCAUGGACAAGUAUAUAUGGCAGGAAUCACCGCAUGCUUUAAUGAUUAUUCAGAUUGCAAAAAUUCAGUGUUAGGACCUGUAUUACAUAUGAUGAUUAUUGUGGCAAAGUGUUAGGACCUGUGUUACAUAAGUGUUAUGCAAUGAACUACAUUUUUCCUUUCGGAAGAAGUUCAUUUUUUGCCCUCAAAGUGUCAUCAGAGUACAAUUUUGACCGUCGAGUUCAAAAAAGAGACAAUUUCGGCCGAGUUUCUUUUUUGCCCUUUAGAUGAUUUAAUUUGAAGCUUGUCUGCAGCUGAUCUGGCAAUAACUUUGCCACAUACUUCCAACUCUCCAAACCCUCAUCUUACCUUGCAAAUUUUAAUUAAGAUAUGGAAAUCAAUAAUAAACUAAGCAAUGUUGCAAAUAGCCCGCUAUAGCACCGCUAUAGCUUUUAAGACAGAUGCCGCGACGAUAUUGCAAAUAUUACCACUAAUGCCACUAACUCCGCUAAAGUGUGAAAUAGCCCUGCUCAAUUCAAUAGUCUAGCACCGCUAACUCCGCUAUAGUUGAUCUACGAACUUAUAUACUUGUGAUUAAUGAACUACGAGUUAUGAUUUAUGACUUGUCUUAUGAGUUGUGACUUAUUUGCUUAUGUUUGCAUAUAUGCUACAUAUACUUAUGAAAUAUGAACUGAAAUUCAUGAAAUGAAAUUAAUAAUAUUUAGGUCUAAAUCUUACUAGUUUUUUGCAUACCGCUAAAGGUCAUAGCUUCUGUUAUAGCUGCGCUAUAAUAUCUAUAGCUUUUUCGGGAGCACUCCGCUAAAUUCUAUAGCCCGCGAUUUGCAACAUUGAAACUAAGCACAGAGUAUAGUAGAGAACUAGAGUGCAAGUUGUUGCAACAGCAAUCAAUCUUGUUCCUAAAUUGCACACAUUUUCCCAAGUAUUUAUCAAAGUGCAAGCAGCCCAACUCAUGCUACUUGGUCGAGAGAAUCUUCAAAAUGUCGCAUUGUCUCCUCGAGCGAUAAACCAAUCUAUUGACUGAUGAUAGCUUGGUUCCUAUCAAACACAAUGUAUAUGACCAUACCAUAUACUUACCAAAUAGUUGGUGCGUGCGCUAUGUAUUUAUGCUAUACAAGUAUACAGCUACUAGUUGAUCGAGAUUUUUAAUUUGGGAGUGCUGAGCUGCUAGACUAGGAGAGCGUGAUGAAGUCGUGGAGCGAGGCGACGAGGCUGGGCGGCCAGUGCUUGGUGUCCCUGACGUAGGUGAGGUCGGUGUAGUGCGGGUCCAGCAGCGUGGCGAUGGCGAACUGGUUCUCCGCCAGCAGCGCCGCGUGCUUGUCGGCGUACAGCGCCGCCGCCAGCGCCGCGUGGAUCUCUGCAAAUAUACGUAUAUAUUAUGUAUAUUCUACUACUUGAGAUAGAUAUAUAGAUUAUUGUGCAUCAUCUGCAUCCAUGGAGAUACUGACGAGUGACGACUGACCUGGGUAUCCCUUGAGCGCGAUGGAGACGUCCUCCAUCUCGGCGAUGGACUCGUCGCGGUCGCCGAUCUCGUAGAGCACCAGCGCCCGCCCCACCCGCGCGUACUCCGACAGCGCCAGGUCCGCGUACUCCCGCACCACGCGCGUGAACGACGCCAGCGCCUCCGGGAACUCCCCGCGCGCCUGCAGCUCCCGCCCCAGCUCCAGGAGCCCCACGGCCUCCCCGACGCGCCGUGACACCGCCGCGCUCGCCGCCCGCUCCGCCUCCGUCACCACCGGCCCGUCGUACCCCACCAGAGCUCCUUCUCCUCGUCCUCCGGCCGCCGCGGCAGCUCGCGCGCCGCCGGUCGCCGCGAGGAGAAGGCCGGACACGAGCAGCUGCCGCCUCCCUGCUGCUGUCCUUGUCGACGCCGACGACGGUGAUUGGGUGGUGGUUGGUGGCGGCGGUGCCGAAAGCGCGGCUGCUCCGGUGGCGAGCGGCGGCGUGGGAGGCUGCAUGGGGAGGGCGGAGGCGUGGCGCUCACAUGCCCCCAACGUGUCGUCGUCUCGUUGAGCAGAGGGAGAGAGCUAGGGAGGGAUAAGGUUUGAGAGGCUCUGCUCUAAGAUGUGGAACGACUUGGAUGUUGAACGUGGGAGAAAUUAAAAUUCUUGAAACAAACGGAAGCAGGUAUUGUGAUCGGCUCGCAUUCGUCGAAAGGAAUGGUCUUGAAAUGGACGGUUCAUACUAAGAGCUUUUUGCUCUGCAGCGUUGAGCGUGACGGACAAAGGUUUCAGGCACAAUGCAAGAUGAGCCAACAACAAAGCGGCACACACCGUCACCUCCCGUGUUAUUCGGUACUCGUAGCUUUUAAUACAGAGGACAUUGCAGAUCUCCAAUGAAUUUUAAGUGUCAUGCUUUUUUUGGAAGAAACCUAAGUGUCAGACGCCUGAUAUUUUUCGUUUCACAAGGGACAGUUCGAUCAAAAACGAAUGGCAAAUAGCCACGCCACGUUCAUCAUGUCUACUCGAUCCACCAUCUCUCUCGUCUUCGACGUCACGGGUUCACCAUUUUGUGCCUUGUCACCCCCACCCAACCACAAGCCGUAUACACUGAUGUCCACCGGGCCAGCCCACCGCCAGGAGACCUUCCUCUAAACUCUAAUUAAGGCCACAUGGUACAAAUCAAAUAGCUUAUUACUCCCUCCAUCCUAAAUUACUAUUCGUUUUAGUUUCUCAAGGUACAUAGCUUUUGCUAUGUAUGUAUGUAUGUUUAGAUACGUAGCAAAAGUUAGGUAUAUAGAAAAGUCAAAACGAAUAGUAAUUUAGGACGGAGGGAGUAGAAGCUAGGAACACUUGUCCACAUAAAUCGACUUAAAUAUUCACCAGCUUUGGUCGUAGUUUAGGAUUUAAGUCGACUGCAGUUUACGAUGCGUUGUUCAACGAAAUUGCAGCAGGAUCUGUCCUCUAUCAUUCAUCAGGUAAGAAAGGAGAAAGUCUUGUGAGUACAAGAUGGGUGGAAUGGAACAAUGUCCUAACACUAACAUGACCAUUUCAAUUUAGGAAAAACAGAUCGAAGAGAUAGAUGGUCGAUUCGCAAAGAGCAUUACUACUACAAUACCCUCGUUUACCGGAUAUUGUUCAUCAUAAAGCCCAUUUUUCAAUUAAUAUAGAUUGGUUUUAGAUGAUUAAAAUGGUGAAGUGCCUUUGCAAACACCCCAUGCUACUCACUCGCGUUACUCCACGACCUAGCUUAUGCCCAUUCAAAGUAGGCAAUUUUCUUGCACGAAGCCACAACCUGAAUGGUGGCUAAGUUGGAAAGCACCUCUUCAUAUGAUAAUGGAGGAUUGACUGUACGAUUUUAUCCACUUUCUAGCUCUGAAAUCCUCACGACUGACACAGAUAAAAGUGUUUUUUGUGAUUUCUUCAGAUCCACCAAAACCCAGUGCCCAUGAUUUGUGUAGUUUGCUGGGACAUUCAAUUCAACCAAAGGAUCCCUUUAGUGUUGAACCAAGGCCGAGAAUUAUUUUCUUAGAUUCUUGGAAACCUUCACAAAUGAAAUAAAAGAAAAGAAAAACAGCUUUGGUUCUGAACGAAAAGAAUCCCAUCUUUUAUGUUCAAGAAGAAACAAUCAAGGUAUAUGCCUUCAAAAGGUAAUACAUUCUCCAGAAAAGCUAAAACGGACGGACCCUUAAAACAAAAGUGAAAAGGGAGAAACUCCUGAAACUGAAAGGUAUUCGUGUACUCAUCAGUCUAGACAAGAAACACUGUCAUGCACAGCGCAUACACGCACAAGGUAAGCCGUAUACACCAGCACAUAAGGAUAAAAAUAUUUGCAAAUCUGGCAUGUUAAUCCAAGAGAGAGCAUGAUAUGUCACACACUCACACUCCAUGUGCAGCAGAAAAUGUGAUCAUACUGCAUAGCUGUUCCUCUACUUUUAUCCGAGUUUUCAGGUCUGUUGGCAAACCAUACACCUGUACACAACGAUAGAAUUUGUAAAUACUUACAAGUUAUAAUAAACAGAGCGUAAUAUGAGAUCUCAAAUUCCCCCAAGUAAAGCUUCCUUUUCUUUACUCAAUCAAAAGGCAGCCAGUUAGCAAGCCAUACACCUGUACACGAUGACAAAAGAAAUACUUGCAAGUUAUACACUUACACUAAGAGCGUGAUAUUGCACACUAUGCAUUGAGCAACAGACUAAAAUUAAAUGUGAUCAUAGUACUGCUUACGGUUUCAGAAUUUGGUAACCAUACACCUGUACAUACUGAAGAAAAAUCUUCACACACACUGCAAAUCAACCUAAUAAGCAGAUGACAUGUCACCGUAUACCUCUUGACAUGUAUUGCACGGCUACUCCUUUAUCCUUUAUUCCAAAGCAUAUAAAGGUUUUCAGUUUUACUUUAUUACUCCCUCCGUCCCAAAUUAUAGGUCGUUUUGACUUUAUUAGAUUCAUAAACUUUAUUAUGCACUUAGAUAUACCCUAUGUCUAGAUGCAUAAUAAUAUCUAUGUAUCUAUAAAAGCCAAAACGACCUAUAAUUUGGAACGGAGGGAGUACUUUGCUUGCCCACUUCUUUUUAACUCUAGAGGGACACGUAUUUAGGCCAACCAUAUAAUGUCACAUCCAGUUUUAAAACAAAACCAAGUGCUACAUAUAUGUAUGUCAGGAUCUAGUUUAGUUUCAUAUAUAUAGUGACAUCACAAGUGAAUAACAGUAGUAAAGAAAAAGAGUCAAUCAGAGAUAUACGCUUAAUCCUGGAAACGGAGGCUCCAAACUUCACAGGCAAUCGACUGGGGGUUGCGUAUGCCUAGAACUCAGCAUCAUCUUCACAACAACUUCAUAGCAGCUAGCUUCUUCUUUUGAGCAAUGUUGGUUAUAGUAAGGGUGAGCACAUGUCGUACUCAGCAAGUGUGGGGAAAAUACGAAUGCAAGGCUUAAACAAGGAAAAGCUGACUGGUUAACUGCAUUAAGUAUUUUUAGUUGGUCAAAUUUUAUUAGCACCUGAUUACUAAAGUAUAAAUAUAUACCAACCUAAAAUUAAGCAUAAACAUAGGCCAUAAGCAUAUGGCACAACCAUAACUACGAUUUAAGUCCAUCUUCAAGUUCAAUUAUCAUGUGAGGGUGAAGGUCGCUCUUGACCGUGAGCACGGCUGAUAUAUCAGUUUUACACUCUGCAGAGAUUAUACAUCUUUACCCACAAGUCGCGUAAAAGUUUAGAAAAACUUUAGACCCAACCAUGUUGUGCUGAUCAGGCACUUAUCACACUACCGAGGUGUGACUACAUAGGGAUGCUAUGAGGCCUUUACAAAAAUUCCCUAGUAAAGAUAGCUCGUUAAGGUUUCAUGAUCAACGCAAUGCAUAAAUCUUUCUUAAACUGUGAAGCUACCAUAGAGCAGAUCAGUUUGAGGGUUGAGCUAUACACCAACUACUGUCUCCUCCUCUUGCCCCUUUUAGGUAAAACUACCACAAACUAGAGUUUAUAAUUAAUUAGCCAAGACCAGAGCCAUGUAGUCCUUGUGGUUGCACUAUUUUCCUGGGUGGUCGCUCCAUGUUCCAAUUAAGCAUGGUGAUCUUGUAUUAAUGAAAAGUAUAGCAUUAAUAAAAAAAGUUUAAUCAUUGAGUUCAUUAAAACCACCGUACCCAAGUAUAGUAGCUAAGCAUAGCUACCCAACAGAAAGAUAAACCUAGGUUGAUAAGGAAUGAUCAUAAAAACUAGGCAAACCUUAAUAGGACCCAUCAAUAUUAAAUGCAAGUAUAUGCAAUAGUGAUUAAAUAAAGUUACUGGACAAAAGCAUAAGGACACACUUGCAUUUCUCCGAAGAUAUAGCUCCUCAGAUAUCUUUAGCUCUUGUUCUUCAAAGCUCUCAAGCGACAUUCCUUCUACUCGCAACAAUCAUCAAGCACAAGCAUACAAACAAACAAAUAAGCACAACUAAGAACAGUACACCAAGCAAAAGAAAAGCUUUAAAAGAGCGUACUAAAGGAUAGGGCUCGAUUCUAAGAUCGUGAGGAUGCAAGAAACGCUUAAAUCGGAAUUAAGGUUGAAAAGGCACAGCUAUCGAGAGAUUAAUAUCAAACAAGAAAAGACUAUGGGCUAGAUAUGUUUUAACUCAAUAAAAUCAUGUGUGAAGGUUAUUUUAGAGAAACAUCUUAUGUUAGAAUUAACUCAAAUUAUAUUAGUAUCUGAAAAAGCCACAAUAAAACUUAAUCAAAUUUUUAUUUGUAACUGUGUUCGUAUAAAUUAUACAAAUUAAUCAUUUAUUCGGAAAAUAACUCCGCCGGAACAUCUAAGUGCAUAGCUUUAUGAUUCGGGUUGAACUAACCAAAUAUAAUUAAAAACAUAUUUAUAUUCAUAUUAGUCAAAUUAAUAUUUAAUAAAGAAAAAUCGAGAUAUAACCAAUGUAGCUUUUAUUUCGACAGCAAAUUGUAUAAACAUUACUCAAUUUAAGUUUGACUGAAAACCAAGGUAUAACACUUAUUAGCUUUUAAUUUAAAGAAUUUUUUAAAUAAGCAUUAAUCAAAUUAACAUCUAUUAUGAAAAAGCGGUUACAACACUAAGUAGGUUUUAAUUAAAGAAGACAUGUUUAACAAGUAUUAAUCAAAUUAAUAUUAAAUUUAUUUUAAAAACAUGCAUGAUGGAAAAUAUCACCACUAACGUGUAGUUUAUAUUAUCAUGAAUAUAAUGCAACAAGAACGGAUAUAGACGUUGCUAAAACGAAGGUUUCAUGUACUUAGAUGCAAUAACUAAACAUCAAAAGGGCUUGCAGAGAAGAUUGGCAAGACACAUGGAAUAGUGCUCGCCAUUAGGUCAAAGGGGUGAAAGCCUAGGGUUAGAUCUGUUAAAGUGCUCGGGUUGGAUUGGCUUGCAGAAACCUAAACUUUCUAGGGGGCUUUGACCUAAUGGCGAGCACUACAAGGUUUCAGGUACUUAGAUGCAAUAACUAAACAUCAAAAGGGCUUGCAGAGAAGAUUGGCAAGACACAUGGAAUAGCGCUCGCCAUUAGGUCAAAGCCUAGGGUGAAAGCCUAGGGUUAGAUCUGUUAAAGUGCUCGGGUUGGAUUGGCUUGCAGAAACCUAAACUUUCUAGGGGGCUUUGACCUAAUGGCGAGCACUACAAGGUUUCAGGUACUUAGAUGCAAUAACUAAACAUCAAAAGGGCUUGCAGAGAAGAUUGGCAAGACACAUGGAAUAGUACUCGCCAUUAGGUCAAAGGGGUGAAAGCCUAGGAUUAGAUCUGUUAAAGUGCUCGGAUUGGAUUGGCUUGCAGAAACCUAAGCUUUCUGAGAGUUGCAAGACAUAGGAGGUAAGCUAAAGAUUACAGGACUUCUAGGGGCAAAAAAAAACAAAAACUCGGAGCUUUGGCUCCCAUUGCGGCCGGCGGAUCGGCGACUCGGGCGGCCUAGGGUGCAGACGGGUGGCGCAGGAGAUAGAGGAGAUGGAGGGCGUCACGCAGGGGUCCUCAUCGGCGACGGGGCGGACGGAUUUCGGCCGGAAUUUGGCGCACGGCGGACGGAGGAGAUGGCCGGCUCGGGGCUUCGCGCGGGCGGAGCUGAUCCGGCGGUCGACUGACGACGGCGGGUGGUGGAGAAGAGGCGCGGAAGCUCGGCGAAGCUAGUGGCCCUGGCGGCUUCGUUCGGCUGUGCCCCUGGGCGGCGAAUCGGGCGGACAGAGCUCGGGCGGUGGCUCUGCUCUUCGCGAGGGCCGCGGCACUCCGGUGACUUGACGACGACAAGGAGCGGUGCACCGGCUUCGUCUCGGAGAGGGGAUCUUCGAGGUGGUGGUGGCUUGCUCCAGGGACGAAGAGGUGCGGCGCAUCGACACAGCGAAGGCCGGCGGCGGCGCUGUGCGAGCCGGGAAGAACGAGGCGCGGCCGGCGCGAGCAACAGGGAGAACGAGAGGCUCGGCUGUCGCGUUUUAUAGGGCGCGGGGCCCGAUGAUGGCCGUGGCGCGCACGCCAAGAAGGCGGCGGCGGCGGCGGUGGCCAUGCAGCGCCAGGGAACUGGCGGCGGCGCACGGGCCUGGCUGGGCCGAAGCGGGCCUAAGCGGCUGACGCGGGUUCGGCCCACGGGCUUGGCCCGUUAUGAAAAAGAAUAGAUUAUUUUCAGAAAUAAUGAUUUCUCGUGAAAAGGAAAAUCAAGAAAUUUCUAGAUAACCCAUUAAAUUCACGAAAAAUACUCUGAAAAUCCAAAAAUCUAGGAAAAAUCUCAGAGAUAGUUUGGGACACGAAGAGUCCAAAUAAAAUACUUGGAGCUCGUGAAAAGAAUUAUAGAGCCUUCUAAUUGAUACAUUUAGCUCUAGGAAAAAUGAGAAUGAGGUCUAGAAAAAGCUAUAAAAUUCUUAGAAGGAUUUGGUCAUCAUCUAAAUGUAUUUUAAAACUUUUUGCACUCAUGAAACACCAGAAUGCAUCUGCAAGAAUGCAACACACAAAGAAUAACUUUAUUUAAUUCAGAAAAACAACCAAUUAUUUUUCCUAGACUAAAUUUCCUGUCAAGAAAAUAAAUGUUGAAAAAAUUUUAAAACUAUGAGAAAAUUAUUGUUUAAUUGUUCUUUCAGAUCACAUCCUAAAAUCCAAAAAUUUUAAGAUGUGACAUAUAAACCAGUGCAUGUUGACAUAAGCAAUGGGAAGUAUAAAAGUUAAACGAACAGCAUGAAGCACUAUACAUGCAGAGCCAGAGCCAAAUAUGAGAUUAUAUAUAGUGUGUAGCAAGCUCCACAGUAUGUAAAGUGAUUUCAGUUUCUGACUUUAUAACUUUGCAAUCCCACAAGUUACACUUCCACAAGUUUGGUUUUCUAGCAUGACAGCAGUGAUCGAUUUGGCAACUUGAUCCCUUUCUCCAUAAUUGGAUAUACAUGUAACAAAAAGCAACAGUUUCAAAGUUGUUCAUCUUUUCCGAAGCAAACUUUUGUAUAAGAGAUGCAAUGAGAGGAAAGUUAUUCCUUGUGAUGUCUGUUUCUUCAAAAAAUUUAAUUGCGUAUUGAAGUUCCAUAUUAUUAAUUUCCUAGUUUUCUGAAUUGGAAACCAACUUAAAUAAGCAACACAUAUAGGAGGAAAACCACAUCAAAACACUAAUAAUAUAAUUAUUACCAAAUCUACUUUGAAAGGCAAUACUUUUAUGAUCAGAAUCACAAUAAUAUGCAUGCAUAUGUUGUCAAGCUUAUAGUUUUUAAAACAAACAUAGUUUCAUAACUUUGAGAAUUUGUUAUUAUUAUUCUGAAUCGUUAUAUACAUUUCAAAAGAAAAGAGUGAAAGUAUUUGUGAAGGAAGGCCAAAGUAGUUAAUUUAAUAAUGAAGUGAAACCUGUUAUAAGAUGAUGAAGGCCUCCGCCUAGCCAUUGCGCCUUCUCUGGUGAUGGCUGUUGCAGAUCUGAUCAUAUGCUGAGUUCUUGAGCUCUUGCAGGGCCAGCUUUUAGUGAUUACUUGGGUGCAAGGCAUGCACGGUGCAGGGGAGAUAAGAACCUGAAAACAAAUUGAUGGCUAGGGUAAUACUGAUUACAAUGUAUAUUGCUUAGAACCUGCCAGCUAUAUAUAUGAGAAGGGUAGAGAUAGAGAUGAUAUCGACUUGAGGGAAGGGGGGAAGUGGGGGGAAGGGGUGCUGCAGCGCACUUCCUUGCGCGAACAAGCUAUAUAUAUACACAAGCGUUAGAUGCGGGGAUGGUCACUAUAUACGCCAUCCCCAUAUACGCAUCGUUUACUUAAACGUAACGGAACCAUUUUAACUUAAUUUGGCCCAAAUAUGUAUUUGGCCCAUGGAAAUUGGGCCUGCGCCAAAUGAAAGAAAGGAAUCUAUAGCGAGGGGAUACAAUGCUUGGGCAAAAUGAAGCACAUCGCAAAAGAUUUGGUUAUAAGGAACGGAGGAAAUUUCAAACAUUAGAGGAGGUUGAAUUGUGUUUUCUCUAGUAAUGAGUAUAAAUUAGCUGUUUCAUUUAAAGGAUAUAUAUGUGUUUUGAAAAAAAUCUAAUUAUGAGUAAAUUCAACACUUCACUUUUAAAAAUGUCCGUGUAGUGAUGAUAAAAAAUAACUCAAUGUAGGAAUCAAUGUAUGAUUGGUUAGUUGACAUAGUUAGAGAAAAUCUUAACUAUGGGAUUAUUCAUCUAACGACAUGGCAAUGAAAGAAUAUUUUCAAAAUAAGUACUUUUAAGUUAAUAUAAUCCCCAAAAAGUGUUCAAAGGAAACACAACUUAUUUGAAGUACUUGCUUAAUUGCCAAUUUAAAUAAAAAAGUUGUAAACCCCAAAAGUUAUGGUUGCAAAGAACAUAUGAUAGGUUUAUUAAUUUCCCCCCAGUAUGAAAUUAAUGGCAUUAAUGACAUCAUAUAAAAUUUUUAGAAUGAAUUAAUGGUGCCAUAUAUAUUCACGCUAAAUGUGAAGUAGUCUUGCAUAAUGUUCACGCUACUAAUUGUAUAAGAAUUAUGUAGUGAGGGACAGAUACAUUGUACACCUCCCCCCUACUACUAUAAAUAGAUUCAAACAGCUCCCACACAACUCAUCAUAUAUUACCAAACCAAGUUCCCCUCUGGAACAACACUGCUUUUGUUAUUCAUCUUCUUCCCCAGUUCAAAAAUUCUCAAUGGAGAAGGUACUAGUUUUGAUCGUAGGCGCGGGUCCAUCAGGUCUUGCUGUAGCAGCAUGCCUCAGCCAGCUCUCCAUCCCUUAUUGCAUCGUUGAACGUGAGGAUUGCAGUGCUUCACUUUGGCGCAAACGCACAUACGAUCGCCUCAAACUCCAUCUUGCCAAGGAGUUCUGUGAGCUUCCUCACAUGUCAUAUCCAAGUGAUACCCCUACAUACAUCAACAAGGAACAGUUUGUGAGGUAUGUUGAUGCCUAUGUCGAUCACUUCAACAUUUUCCCUAAGUAUAGCACUUCAGUUGAGUCUUGCAAGUAUGACGAAGUGAGCAAUUGUUGGGACGUCAUGGCACAUGACAAAGUAACUGGCCUAGUGAUUGAGUAUACAGCAAGGUUCUUGGUUGUAGCAACAGGUGAGAAUAGUGAGGGAAUCAUUCCAGAGAUCCCUGGGCUACAUGAUUUCCCUGGUGAAGUCAUACAUUCAUCAGGUUACAAGUCAUGGAAUAACUAUGCUGGAAAAGAAGUUCUAGUGAUUGGAUGUGGAAACUCCGGCAUGGAGAUUGCCUAUGACCUUGCCAGCCAUGGAGUGGAGACCUCCGUGGUUAUCCGUAGUCCGGUAUGAAUUACUACACUUAUUUCCAAAUAUGUUGAUUUUAUUUUUCUCAUGCUGUUUAUUUGGAAUAUGAAUCAUGCAUGGUAUACUUUAUUGAUUCUCCACUUAACUUCAUUAUGUAAAUACAGGUGCAUGUUAUGACCAAGGGGUUGAUUAACUUGGGGAUGAAACUAGUGAACUGGCGCCUUCCUGUGAAAUUUGUGGAUUUCAUUAUUGUGACUCUUGCAAACAUUCGAUACGGUGAUCUGUCCAAAUAUGGGAUCAUCAGGCCUAAUAUGGGGCCAUUUCUUCUCAAGGCAAAGACUGGACGGUCAGCAGUCAUAGAUGUUGGCACAGUUGAUUUAAUAAAGAAAGGUGUUAUCAAGGUGAGCACAUUUACAUGGUAUAAUAGUAGACCUAAAAGUUGAAAAAUAUACCAAUUUAAACUUGAUAAAGUUUAUUCAUGAUUUUUGUGCAACGCAGGUGCUUAGUUCAGUAUCCUGCAUAAGAGAAGAUUCUAUAGAAUUUGAGGAUGGAAAAAACUGCUGCUUUGAUUCUAUUGUAUUCGCCACAGGCUAUAAAAGCACUGCAAACAGGUGGCUUAAGGUAUGUAUGUAUAUCAGCAGCAGCCUGGCAGCAGUCAUUAAUGAAGAAAUGAUUUUUUUUUACCUUUUAUGAAAACUUCAAUAGUGGCAGUCUUUAAAAGCGUCUACCUCUGCCAACCAUGAAAAAUCUAGUAUGAUUUUACCCCUUUUUCUAAUGCUUACAAGAGGGCAGUUACUAAGAAAAACAUACAAACCUCCACCACCUAUGGAAAAGCUACUUUUAUUUUUGUUUACUAGCUUAACCAGAAACUUAAAGCACUGCAUUCUGUUACCAAAUGCUUUGGAUUCUCUUCAGAGAAUAAUGGUGGUGCCAUAUUCUUACGAAAAUUUGUGCGGUUAUCAAAAAUGCAGAAUGGUGAGGGCUUGCUGAACGAGAGUGGCAUGCCCAAAAGGGAGUUCCCCAAUCAUUGGAAAGGUGAAAAUGGCCUCUACUGUGUUGGGCUGGCAAUGAAAGGGCUGUCUGGUAUUUCCUGUGAUGCAAAGACUGUUGCUGCAGACAUCAAGUCCAUCGUGGAUUCGAUGGGAUCAUUUUAUUAACUGCCUUCCUUGGGUUUAAGAUACCAGGAGAGGUCGGCUGUGUUGGCUUGCUCCUUAAUUUCCCUUGCUCGCUCCAGUGUGGUCGUCUUUGGUUUGAAUUAAGUUUGCUGGGUUGUUAACUCCCCCUAUCUGUUCUACCGUCGUGAGUGUAUGCAUGUUCGUUCCCUGAUUGGAGCUACUAUAUGGUAAUGGAUAAUAGUGCUAUGUAUGUGUGUCGUAGGUGUUGUAAUCGUGUGUAAUGUUUGUGUCGUCUUCAUAACACUACUGGAAAACUGACCAUUGGUCCUAACCCUUAGUACCAGUUGGUUUUUUAUUCGGUACUAAUGUGAACAUUAGUAUCGGGUCUAAUGGCUAGUCCCCGGGAGCCCCCGUGACCCCCUUUAGUAUCGGUUGGGAGCUCCAACCGGUACUAAAGGUCACCCAUUAGUACCGGAUGGAGCCUCCACCCGAUACUAAUGAGCCUGAGGGGCUUUAGUACUGGGUGGAGCCCCCAACCGGUACUAACUUCCCUCCUAUAAAUCAGGCGUCUUCUUCCUCCUGCCUGAGCCAUUUCCUCCAGCUCGGGUUUCAUCCAUUCAUGGUGAAAUAGGGGAGGUGCUGCCAGAUUUUUGACCAUUUCGUGGGGAUUUCACUCAUUCAAGUGUUCUAAAGGUUAGAAACUUCGUCCUCCCUUGAUACAUGGUUCGUAUACUAAGUUUUAUGCUUUAGAGCUAGAGUAAUUUGUGAUUUUUAAAAUAAGGUACAAUGGAGAAAUUUUUCUUUAUAUGCAGGUGUUAUUUAGAGCUCAUAUUUGUGAUUUUUAAAAUAAGCUGCAAUUUUGAAUUGCUAUGUUUCGUAUUAGGUACUAAAGCCCUCUUUAGUACCAAAAUAGCAAUACUGGUUGCACAACCGGUACUAAUAGGGGUUAGGAACCGCAGAAGGCACUUUCCCAUCAAUGUAAUGCAUGGUGUGUAAUGUGAUAAAGUCGUUGGAAUGCUAUGGCAUGAUAAUAAAGUAUUACUACUAUGGUAUUAUGUCUUCGAUUUGUCACGUCUCUAGUUAUUUGACGCUCACACUCUUGAAAAAAUGUAAUGCGAACGGAGAUUAUAUUACUGCGCAGUUGCAGUAUGUGACGACGACAUAUAUCACGACCAUGGCCCAUCUUGCUCGUCACAUUUUUGCCGGCACUCUUGUCGCCACACACGCGGACCAGGGCCCAAAAAUCACCGCCGGGGCCCCAGCCCAACCGAUAGCCCCGUUGGCAACACAACAAGGCUGUUGUGGUGAACUCUGCAAGAACUUAAACAGGACUAUCUUGACGCAGACAACGACUAAGGAAACACUCCAACUUAAACAGGACUAACUGUUACUAUAUCCCUUUUUCUUGAACAACCUUUCAGUAUUCCGUCAACAACCACACAUCCUCUUUUUAUUCGGAAGCAACUUGCUAGCAUUGAGAAAAUCUCGCUUACAUUUCAAAUCGUUUACGCAUACCACACCUCUACUCCUGUUGGGAUGAUCUUCUUUGGCCAAACCGGCGUUCUCUGCUCUGGAAGUCCUUCAACGCCUGGAGGUAGUCAUCCUCCCCAAAAUCAGGCCACAUGGUGUUGGUGAAGUAGAGCUCGGCGUAGGCCGACUGCCACAGCAAGAAGUUGCUGAGCCUCAGCUCGCCGCUUGUCCUGAUGACAAGGUCGGGGCAACCGAACUCUCCCAGAGCGUUCGUGGAGAGGUGGCCGGCGAGCAUCUCCUCGUCGAUGUCCUCCGGCUGGAGCAUGUUGUCCUGCACCUUGGUGGCGAGCUCCCGGCACGCUUGCACGAUGUCCCACCGCCCGCUGUAGCAGACCGCGAUUAUGCAAUGGUACUGCGAGUUGUUCCUGGUCAUCUCCUCAGCUUCACGAGCAGCGUCCUGCAGAGAAGUUGGCAUUCUUGAGCGAUCACCGGCGACAUGCACCCGAAUUCCUUCCCUGUACUCAACAAUUAAAGUCAGCUGCUGCAGUGUUCAUAUACCAAAUUGUGUGGUGAGUGCCCAAAUCGUUCGAUCAGCAGUGCAAGUGUGCUCACCUCUCGUACUCGUCCAUGUAAUGACGGAUCAUCCGCGCGGUCAUCUCCAUCAGGAAGUCGACCUCAGCCUGCAGAUUCAAAGAAUAAUGCAAGAUCAGAGCCGUGUGUAAGCGCAAGCUCUGCUGGGUGCCAAAAGUAGCGAGUCAAAUAAAAGGGCCUUGCCUCGGGGCGUCUGAAGUUGUCUUGCGAGAAGGCGAACACCGUGAUCGCACGGAUGCCCCAGGCGGCUGAGAGCUCAACUAUCUUGUUGAGCACCUGUGCACCGGCCUCGUAGCCCUCCAACGUCGUCAGACCCCGCGCCUGCGCCCACCGCCGGUUCCCGUCCAGCACAAACGCCACAUGCUGCGGCAUCAACUCCGCGCGCAGCCCGCUCUGGACAAGCUUCUUGGGCAGAUCGUUCUCAGCCAUGGCAGCGACCGCGGGAUGAAGGGGAUGGAUGGACCAAUGAAUAUAUACUUAUAUAGCCGUGAGAUCCAUCCUCUUUGUUUUCAUUCUAGAUCAGAGUGCUGCACCUUCUUUGACAGUAAAUAUUGAGAAUCUUAUUUAAAACAUGUGACGAGUUGACUUCAAAUCAUGCGUGGCCUGAUGUGGAUUAUUUGAAGCAUGCAUGGUCAGAUCGACUACAUAGAUAUGCGCAAGGGAAUAGAUCUGAUACCAGUGGCUGAUCAGACUACACUCAUCAAACCCUCUAACUGGGAAAAUAGGCACUUUAGUCCCUGAACUUUGCACAGAGGGUCAACUUCGUCUCUCAACUUAUAGAUUGGUCAAUUUAGUCCCUCAACUUUCAUUUUUGGGUCAAACCCGUCCUUGUGUUGAUGUGAUGCUCUAUGUUAGCAUAAAAUUAAUGCAAAAAGUCCAUUUGGCCCUUGGCUCAUCUAGGUCAAACAUGUAUAUGCUCAUGCUCCCUUAAUACAUACAAGUAAUAAUAUAUUCUUUAAACUGAUACAAAAUAUGGAUUCUAAAAAGUGUAUGUACCCGUACUCUUUAAAGUCAUUCAUGCAUGCAUGUGCUCAUACGAAUUUGAUAGGCAAAAUAUAUAUACUCAAACAAGUAUGUACUGAUAUUCUUUUGGUAUAUAUACAACUCAAUGUGUGUGUGGGCAUGUUCUAAAAUCAACAUAUGCUCACAUACUCGUGGUACGUUAUACAUGCUCCAUGCAUGCAUUCAUACUCCCUCGGCAAACAUAUGCAUCUUCACAUUUAUUUUGGAUCAUACGUUAUUAUAAUUCUAAAGGUAAAAAUUGAAAAGAGAAAAUAAAUAAGGGUAAAAUGGACCUUUUGUAUUAGUCUCAUACCAAUUUGGAGCCACGUAUCAGCAUAAGGACGAGUUUGACCCAGAAAUAAAAGUUGAGGAACUAAAUUGGCCAAUCUAAAUCUAAAAGUUGAAGUAUGAAGUUGAUCCAAAUGUUUUGGAUUCUUACGAAAAUUUGUGCGGUUAUAAAAAAUUGCAGAAUUGUGAGGGCUUGCUGAACGACAGUGGCAUGCCCAAAGGAGGGGAGUUCCCCAAUCAUUGGAAAGGUGAAAAUAGCCUCUACUGUGUUGGGCUGGCAAUGAAAGGGCUGUCUGGUAUUUCCUGUGAUGCAAAGACUGUUGCUGCAGACAUCAAGUCCAUCCUGGAUUCGAUGGGACCAUUUUAUUAACUGCCUUCCUUGGGGUUAAGAUACCAGGAGAGGUCGGCUGUGUUGGCUUGCUCCUUACUUUGCCUUGCUCGCUCCAGUGUGGUCGUCUUUGGUUUGAAUUAAGUUUGCUGGGUUGUUAACUCCCCCUAUCUGUUCUACCGUCGUGAGUUUAUGCAUGUUCGUUCCUUGAUUGGAGCUACUAUAUGGUAAUGGAUAAUAGUACUAUGGAUGUGUGUCGUCAGUGUUGUAAUCGUGUGUAAUGUUUGUGUCGUCUUCAUAGCACUACUGGAAAACUGAGCAUUGGUUCUAGCCCUAGUACUGGUUGGUUUUUGAUCUGGUACUAAUGUGAGCAUUAGUAACGGGUCUAAUAGCUAGUUCCUCAGGAGCCCCCCGUGAUCUCUUUUAGUAUCGGUUGCAAGCUCCAACCUUUAGUAUAGGGUGGAGGCUCCACCCGUUACUAAUGGGUGACCUUUAGUACUGAUUGUAGCUCCCAACCAGUACUAACCUCCCUCCUAUAAAUUAGGCGUCUUUUUCCUCCUUCCCGAGCCAUUUCCUCCAGCUCGGGCUUCAUCCAUUCAUGGCGAAAUAGGGGAGGUGCUGCCAGAUUUUUGAUCAUUUCGUGUGGAUUUCACUCAUUCAAGUGUUCUAAAGGUUAGAAACUUCUCCUCCCUUGAUACAUAGUUAGUAUACUAAGUUUUAUGCUUUAGAGCUAGAGUAUUUUGUGAUUUUUAGAAUAAGGUACAAUGGAGAAAUUUUUUAUUUAUAUGCAUAUGUUGUUUAGAGCUCACAUUUGUGAUUUUUAGAAUAAGCAACAAUUUUUUAUGCUAUGUUUCAUAUUAGUCAAAGAAAUUGAUAUGAGGUUAGAGGAAUAAUUUCAUAGUUUAGUCCUUUACAAACAUGAGCUAAACAAAUUAUGGAGAAAAAUAUAAUUUUUUUCAUAUUUAGUCAUUUCCAAAUAUGAGCGAGAUAAAUUAUGGUACAUAGAGAUAAUAAGAUGAAAUAAGAUAAUAAGAUGAAAUAGAGGUGUGCAAUUAGCCAUUUUUAGAAUAAGCUACAAUGGAGAAACUUUUUAUUUAUAUUUAGAUGUUACAUUUGAGCUAAAUAAAUUAUGGGGAAAAAUAUAAUUUGUUCAUAGUUUAGUCAUUUGCAAAUAUGAGCUAAAUAAAUUGUGGUACAUAGAGAUGGCUACUGUUGUUGGAGAUAGUGACGAUGGUGGGGGCGAUCGUCAUUCCUCUCGCAGCGAAAAAAUGGUGGGGGCGAUCGUCAUUCAUAAUUGGCCCUCAUGAUAAGCCGAAGAAAAUGAGCACGUGGGAGAUAGCAAUGCUUUGUUAUUUGCAAAGAUGUCAUAAAGAUGCUGUUGCGGCGGGUCAAGAACCUUCUUUUGGUGGUCAUUAUGCUCCACCGCAGUAGUGGAUGCUGAGGUUAAAGCUCACUUCGCACCAAAGCAUCCCGUGAAGAAAGAUCCACCACUUGAUAAGGUUAAAUUUCGAGCUUUCAUUAGAAGCAUGGAGAAAAAGGUAGAGAAACCACCGCUAUCUGAUUACGACCGCUCAAUAACAAAGACUUUUUAGACGAAGAAGAAAAGUGGGUCAAGUAUUCCAUGGCUCGGAAUCCAAUCCAACCAAUCGACUGCCCCGCUCUAGGUACUUUCGGAGUUUGAUAAGAAUCUGCUUCUAUUUGCCAAAGAUACAAAUCUCACCCCAGCUCAACUUCGAGGGAAGGAUCACGUCCCAAAGCACCCUGGGGCUGCUAAAUGAAAAUUUGAGUUAGGGAAACCGCUUGUGUGGCCGCACUUGGUGGACCGUCUUCCAACGAAGAUGUACAAAUUGCCCAAUGGUACAUGGAGGCUUUAGCCAAUGGUUUACUCAUGCUCGAAGUUCGGAUUGGAGAUCAACAUUAUUUCCGUAGGGAAGACAUUAUAAAUGUACCGCUGGAGGAACUAUAUUUCUUUUACAAUCAAGACGCACUUGACAAGUCACUCAUCAAUUCCUAGGUUCUGUAAGUCUUUAAUUUGCUCUAACUUCAAAAUCCCUGCUCUAGUCAUUGUGCGAUAUCUUAACUCCUAUUCGAUUUUAUAUUAUGCAGGAAAGAGAUUCAAACUUGCUAGAGGAAAGGAUACUAUGACAUCAGCUUCAUGAACCCGGAUAUUAUAAACGAGUCAACUAUAAGAGAUAGAUCAAAUCGGACCUUGAAGAACAUAUAUAAGUUCCUAGACAACCAACAUUACAAGAAGUACAUACUUCUACCGUACAACUUCAAGUGAGCAUGUUUCCCAUCUCUUUUCUUUUUCGAACUAGCAGUUAAAUAUAAGACUAACUAGCUUUGGCUAUGCAUAUAUGUACAAAUUCCACUGGAUACUCCUUAUUAUCACGGUUGAUCGAAGCUCGGUCUAUAUCAUGGACUCUUUGAGUAAAUUAAGAGAUCAAUACAAAAACCUCAUAAACAUUCUUAACAAAGCAUGGGCUCGCUUCCAUCGACAUCACGCAAGUGAAUUCAAGGAGGAACUUGAUUUCAAGCCUGAAUUCCCGGUAUGUGUUGAAUUUCCACAUCUCGAUACUUUCUUGAACAUAACAAAUAUUUCAUAACUUCUUUUGCCAUAUAUAUAGUGCUUGAGACAGAAUCCGGGGAAUAAUUUAUACGGAUACUACGUAUGGGAGUUCAUCAAUAGCUUUGUAGGUCCCAAGCGUAUAACCGACAAUGAAUUCAGAGUAAGAAUAUAAAUUUGUUAACAAUAAAUUAGUUCUAAUUGUGCAGAUCUAUUGAUCUACUAUAUAAUAACCUUUGUCAAUGACACAAAUGAGAGACAUGAAGGAAGCACUCCUCGAGAUAGAAAAAAUUAGGGGAAUUCAAUAACAACUCAGUGGAUUUCUUCUGGAUAAGGUAGUAAAUCCUGCGGGGAAGUUCCAUAAUGAUAGAUCAAAUCUGCGUCACCGUCAGGACUCGGGUUCAGAAUAGUUGAUCCAAAUGUUGAACUUCAAGUGUUGAUGCAAUGUAAUAUUAUUCAUAAAUGUGAAUGCAGAAGAUGUCUAUAUAUAUAAUAUUAUAUCAAAUGUAAUAUUAUAGAUAAAUACAACUUUAUAUAUAUAUGAGUGUAUUAGAAUUAGUAUACGUAAAAGAAAUAAAUACAAAAUACUAAUAUAGAAUAAAGAAAUAGAAAAGAAAAUGAGAAAAAAAUAGAAAAGAAAAAAAGACCUUUGGUACCAGUUGUUUGACUCAGUACUAAAGCCCUAAGUAGUAAUACCGUUUGCACAACUGGUAUUGAAGGGAGGUUAGGAUCCGGUACUGAAGGCGCUUUCCCCCGCGGGUGCAACGCAUGGUGUGUAAUGUGAUAAAGUCGUUGGAAUGCGAUGGCAUGGUAAUAAAGUAUUACUACUAUGGUAUUAUGUCUUCGAUUUGUCACGUCCCUAGUUAUUUGACGCUCACCCUCUUGAAAAAAUGUAAUGCGGACGGAGAUUAUAUUACUACGCAGUUGCAGUAUGUGACGACGACAUAUAUCACGACCAUGGCCCAUCUUGCUCGUCACAUUUUUUCUGGCACUCUUGUCGCCACACACGCGGGCCAGGGCCCAAAAAUCACCGCCGGGGCCCCAACCCAACCGAUGGCCCCGUUGGCAACACAACAAGGCUGUUGUGGUGAACUGCAACAACUUAAACAGGACUAUCUAGACGCAGACAACGACUAAGGAAACACUCCAACUUAAACAGGACUAACUGUUACUAGAUCCCUUUUUCUUGAACAACCUUUCAGUAUUCCGUCAACAACCACACAUCCUCUUUUUAUUCGGAAGCAACUUGCUAGCAUUGAGAAGAUCUCGCUUACAUUUCAGAUCGUUUAAGCAUACCACACCUCUACUCCUGUUGGGAUGAUUUUCUUUGGCCAAACCGGCGUUCUCUGCUCUGGAAGUCCUUCAACGCCUGGAGGUAGUCAUCCUCCCCAAAAUCAGGCCACAAGGUGUUGCUGAAGUAGAGCUCGGCGUAGGCCGACUGCCACAGCAAGAAGUUGCUGAGCCUCAGCUCGCCGCUUGUCCUGAUGACAAGGUCGGGGCAACCGAACUCUCCCAGAGCGUUCGUGGAGAGGUGGCCGGCGAGCAUCUCCUCGUCGAUGUCCUCCGGCCGGAGCAUGUUGUCCUGCACCUUGGUGGCGAGCUCCCGGCACGCUUGCACGAUGUCCCACCGCCCGCUGUAGCAGACAGCGAUUAUGCAAUGGUACUGCGAGUUGUUCCUGGUCAUCUCCUCAGCUUCACGAGCAACGUCCUGCAGAGAAGUUGGCAUUCUUGAGCGAUCACCGGCGACAUGCACCCGAAAUCCUUUCCUGUACACAACAAACUAAGAUCAGUUGAAGUGUUGGUACCAAGUUAAGGCCCUGUUUGACAUGGCUCCAGCUCUGGGUGGAGCUGCUCUACUCCAAAACUCCAGGUAGAGUCAGCUCCACUCCAGAACUCCAGAAAUAAAAUGGGGUGUUUGGCUAGAUGGGUACUCUCAGCUCCAAAAAAAAUCAAUUUCAGUGUUAAUUGCCAUUGUUGCCCCCAAUUCAGGCCCCACUUGUCAUCCUCUCCCUCUCCUUUCUUCCUCCUUUCUUUUUCCUCUCUCUGCCGUUGCCCACUGGUCACCCGAAGGAGGAGGAGGGGAAGGCACCAGCAGGUGGGUGGUGCUGCCGGCGGCGGGAGGUGCGGCCGGUGGCGGGGCUAGCGCGGGCGGCGGGGGGUGCGGCCGGCAGUGGGGCUCAGGCGGGCGGCGGGGGGUGCGACCGGCGGCGGGGCUAGCGCGGGCGGUGGGGGGUGCGGCCGGCAGUGGGGCUCGGGCGGGCGGCGGGGGGUGCGACCGGCGGCAGGGCUCGGGCGGGCGGCGGUGGAGGCAGCUGGCGGCGGGUGUGCGGCUGGCGGCAGGGCUCGGGCGGCGGCGGUGGGGGCGGCCGACGGCGGGGGGUGCGACCGGCGGCGGGGCUCGGGCGGGCGGCGGGGGGUGCGGCCGGCGGUAGGGCUCGGGCGGGCGGCGGUGGGGGCGGCCGGCGACGGGGAUCGGGCGGGCGGCGGGGGUGCGGCCGGCGGCGAGGGUGGGGCAGGCGGCGGUGGGGGCGGCCGACGGCGGGGCUCCAAGGCCGGAGCGCGCAGGACGGAGGGGCCACGGCGGCCGGCGACGGGAGCGACGGGCGGCGCUAGCGCGGUGGAGACCGGUGGAGACGAGCGUGUAGAGUCUCGGAGGAAAAUAGAACGAACCGUUUUUUCUAUAUAACCAGUGGCAUUGGUGGGUAAUUAUCCACCAACUCCACGAGGAGGUUCAAAAGAGUGGUUUCUGGAGUAGCAAAAGAGGUGCUCCAAAACUCCACCUCCAUUUGCACUACAGCUCCAUGGAGUUGGCAACUCCAUGGAGUUUUGGAGUUGGGGUGUUUGGCUGAAUUUUUUGAUGGAGUUGCUGGAGUUUAGGCGUGGAGCUGUGCCAAACAAAGCCUAAGUAAUUAUGUGGUGUGUGAGUGCUUACCUCGCGUACACGUCCAUGGUAUCACGGAUGCCCCGCUCGAUCGACUCCAGCGUGUAGUUGACGUCCUCCUGCAGGCAAGAGCCGUGUAAGCGCAAGAUCUGGCCGAUUAUUAAGAAGCUAGCCGGCGAUAGAGAUCAGCCACUUGCCUGGGGGCGUCUGAAGUUGUCUUGCGAGAAGGCGAACACCGUGAUCACGCGGAUGCCCCAGGCGGUUGAGAGCUCCACUAUCUUCUUCAGCGUGUCUGUACCGGCCUCGUAGCCCUCCAACGUCGUCAGGCCCCGCGCCAGCGCCCACCGCCUGUUCCCGUCCAUCACAAAGGCCACAUGCUGCGGCAUCAACUCCGCGCGCAGCCCGCUCUGGACAAGCUUCUUGGGCAGAUCGUUCUCAGCCAUGGCAGCGACCGCGGGAUGAAGGGGAUGGAUGGACCAAUGAAUAUAUACUUAGGGUGUGUUUGGUUAGUUGUAUCAUUUGAUUCAUGUAUGAAAUGAUUCAAAAUAAUAAUAUCCUUUUGUUUGGUUGGGUGAAUUGGGCCAACUCAUCCAGGAUGAGACCAUCCCACUUAAUACAUUAUUCUACUAAUUAGAGUUAACCAUAUGAUACAAGCAAAUUGGUUGAACCACCCUAUCCAGGAUCAUCCAUGCAUGCAUCAUGUGGUGCAUGCAACCAAACGCACCCUUAUAUAGCCGUAAGAUCCAUCCUCUUUGUUUUCAUUCUAGAUCAGAGUGCUGCACCUUCUUUGGCAGUAAAUAUUGAGAAUCUUAAUUAUUUGAAGCACGCAAGGGAAUAGAUCUGAUACGAGUGGCUGAUCAGGCUACACCCACCAAACCCUCUAACUGGAACUUUGGCCUUUGCACGGAGGGAAUAUAUGCAUAAUAAUAUGGCAAAAUAGGUACUUUGGUCUCUGAACUUUGCGCGGAGGGUCAACUUCCUCCCUCAACUUUCAGAUUGACCAAUUUAGUCCCUCAACAUUUAUUUUUAAGGUCAAACUCGUCCUUGUGUUGAUGUGGUGCUCUAUAUUAGCAUAAAAGUAAUGCAAAAAGUCCAUUUUACCCUUAGCUCAUUUAGGUCAAACAUGUAUAUGCUCAUGCUCCCUUAAUACAUACACGUAAUAAUAUAUUUUUUAAACUGACACAAAAUAUGGUUUCUAAAAAGUGUAUCUACCCGUACUUUUAAAGUCAUUUAUGCAUGUGCUCAUAGAUAGGCAAAAUAUAUAUACUCAAACAAGUAUUUACUCAUAUUCUUCUGGUAUAUAUACAACUCGGUGCGUGUAGGCAUGUUCUAAAAUCAACAUGUGCUCACAUACUCGUGAUACGUUAAACAUGCUCCAUAUAUGCAUUCAUACUCCCUCCGCAAACAUAUGCAUCCUCAUAUUUAUUUUGGAAAAUACGUUAUUGUAAUUCUAAAGGUGAAAAUUGAAAAGAGAAAAUAACUAAGGGUAAAAUGGACCUUUUGUAUUAGUUUCAUACCAAUGAAAGUUGAGGGACUAAAUUGACCAAUUUGAAAGUUGAGAGAUGAAGUUACCCUCUGUAUAAAGUUCAGGGAUCAAGAUGCCUAUUUUACCUAAUAAUAUCUAUGAACCUAGGAAAAUCAAAACCACCUGCAAUUUAUAACGAAGGGAGUAAAGAGUAAACCGCUGGUUCCCCUAUUGACAAUCAAGAUGGCAUCUCUCGAUCCACAACAAAGAUGGGAUUGCUGACACAACAGUUUAAUAAGCUGCAAAAUAAAUAACUCAGAGUCGCUUCAUGACAAUUCAAGAUCUCGAUCGCCCACAACAAAGGAUGGAGUCACUGAUCAAGAUAUCAGGCGAUAAUAUAAGAUAGUGGAAUGGGUGGUUCUUUUUUUUUAACAGAGAACUAGAGUUUGGUAUAUACGCUUUAGAUUGUACUCACAAAAAAAUCAUCUAUGAUAUAUGACAAAGGAUUUUUUUUAAAAAAACUCCGUUUGUAAUACUAGUUUAUCACAGACAUAAUUUUGCCCUAACAAGGUUUAGUUUAGACGAUGGUCGGCCCUGGAAACUACUACGUGAUGCUUCUUUCUCCACCCCUCCUCCCUCUUUGCCUCUUGCUUUAUCUAGAAGGUCAUCUGCAAAUGCAAGCAGCAAGCACUAUUGCAACUAGUAUGGGUAUUGGCAAUGAACUCUCUACCUACUUGGACAGUGACACUGUCACCCAUUUUAAUGAUAACUUCAACAUCUUAUCUUGGUGGCAUGAGCAUAAAAGAACUUAUCCAGUUCUGUCCAUCUUAGCUAGAGAUGUUCUUUCUGUUCCUGUUUCCACAGUAUGAUCAGAAUCUAUUUUCAGCACUACUGGUAGGAUCAUCGAGGAGAGGCGGCGUCGAUUGAAACCGGAGACGGUCGAGAUGCUUUCUUGCGUCAAGGAUUGGGAGGCUGCAGAAGCAAGACUUCAGAACUUAGUGGAGGAUGAAGAACUUGAGGAAAGUUUUGCUAAUUUGUACCUAGAUGUCGCUGAUAAUUCAGAAGUGUAACACUGGCCUAUAAUAACCGACUUUUUUGUUUUUUGACCCUUUUUGUGAAAGAUUCUCACAAAUACGCUCCUGGCAGAACCGUUUCAAAAUCUGGACCCUCAGCUUGGCGCCAUCCACGCUGGCGCCAAGCUUACACGCCAUCCUGGCACCAAGGUCCAUGCGCAGAAGCUGUUGACGCGGACGCCAGAGCUUGGCGCCAUCCAUCAUGGCGCCAAGCCUUGGCACCGUGGAUCUUGACGCCAAGCUUGCCACCCUACAUCUUGGCGCUGAGCAAUUUUUCCCGUACCUCUUGGGUUUCGAAUGAAACAAAUAUAAUUAUUCCGAGAAAUAUGCAACAAAUUAUGCUGUGGUUCAACUAACUAUGAUGUGGACUUCUUAUCCUAGAGACUUGAGUUCAAACCUUAUGUUGAAUCUUUUUUCUACAUUUUAUUUUUUUACUCCCUCCCAGAGACCAAGUUUUGAUUCUUUUUAGCUGGCGUGACAUGCAUGUUCGCGUACGAGUACGGUUAGACUGACAGGUAUUCGCUUUUUUGUCGAUUUAUUUGACUGAAAGAAUCUUCACUUGUAUUUUUCUCAUGUUUCAUGCAUUGUAAGGAUAUCUUUAUAAACAAAAGUGGAGAAGGAAUCCUAUGGGAACUUUAAUUUUGAAUCUGAUGAUUCAAAAAAAUAUAAUAGUUUGUAUCAAAUCACUCAGAAUAAUUUUAAUUUGUUCUACUAGCUAGUUAGCUACUGUGAAUCUGCUGGCCGUUGGAAAUUGGAGCGGCACGGUCCUAAUUUGGUUUAUUUGCAUGGGCCACUGAAAGCUGAUCGAAGCUCUCGUUGCAUAAUCUAGUUUGUGAUUUAUGCACUGUAAUGAUUCUGCGAUUUAGUUAGCAAUCGCAUAACCUUUUUGCGAGCUAGACAUUGUUAUCAGGCUGUCCCAAAUUUCACUGAAUGUUAAGCCAAAUGCCUGCUUUUCCAAACGUCCACCCUUCAGAGAAAAAAAAUAAAAUGUAGAAAAAAAAGUCAACACAGGGAUAAGAAGCUCAUAUCCUAACCAGUUGAACCGCAGCAUAGUUUGUUGCAUACUCCUCGGAAUAAUUAUAUUUGUUUCAUUCGAAACCCAAGAGGUACAGGAAAAAUUGUUUGGCGCCAAGAUGUACGGCGCCAAGAUAGCUCCUCGGAACAAUUUCAUCUGUCACUCUUGUUUAGUUUUGCGUGUAGGCAUGUUCUAAAAUCAACAUGUGCUCACAUACUCGUGGUACGUUAUACAUGCUCCAUGUAUGCAUUCAUACUCCCUCCGCAAACAUAUGCAUCCUCAUAUUUAUUUUGAAAAAUACGUUAUUGUAAUUCUAAAGGUGAAAAUUGAAAAGAGAAAAUAACUAAGGGUAAAAUGGACCUUUUGUAUCAGUUUCAUACCAAUUUGGAGCCACGUAUCAACACAAGGAUGAGUUUGACCCAGAAAUGAAAGUUGAGGGACUAAAUUGACCAAUUUGAAAGUUGAGGGAUGAAGUUGACCCUCUGUAUAAAGUUCAGGGAUCAAGAUGCCUAUUUUACCUAAUAAUAUCUAUGAACCUAGAAAAAUCAAAACCACCUGCAAUUUAGAACGGAGGGGGUACAGAGUAAACCGCUGGUUCCCCUAUUGACAAUCAAGAUGGCAUCUCUCGAUCCACAACAAAGAUGGGAUUGCUGACACAGUGCAGUUUAAUAAGCUGCAGAAUAAAUAACUCAGAGUCGCUUCAUGACAAUUCAAGAUCUCGAUCGCCCACAACAAAGGAUGGAGUCACUGAUCAAGAUAUCAGGCGAUAAUAUAAGAUAGUGGAAUGGGUGGUUCUUUUUUUUAACAGAGAACUAGAGUUUGGUAUAUACGCUUUAGAUUGUACUCACAAAAAAAAUCAUCUAUGAUAUAUGACAAAGGAUUUUUUUUAAAAAAACGCCGUUUGUAAUACUAGUUUAUCACAGACAUAAUUUUUCCCAAACAAGGUUUAGGCCCUGAAAACUACUACGUGAUGCUUCUUUCUCCACCCCUCCUCCCUCUUUGCCUCUUGCUUUAUCUAGAAGGUCAUCUGCAAAUGCAAGCAGCAAGCACUACUGCAACUAGUAUGGGUAUUGGCAAUGAACUCUCUACCUACUUGGACAGUGACAUUGUCACCCAUUUUGAUGAUAACUUCAACAUCUUAUCUUGGUGGCAUGAGCAUAAAAGAACUUAUCCAGUUCUGUCCAUCUUAGCUAGAGAUGUUCUUUCUGUUCCUGUUUCCACAGUAUGAUCAGAAUCUGUUUUCAGCACUACUGGUAGGAUCAUCGAGGAGAGGCGGCGUCGAUUGAAACCGGAGACGGUCGAGAUGCUUUCUUGCGUCAAGAAUUGGGAGGCUGCAGAAGCAAGAUUUCAGAACUUAGUGGAGGAUGAAGAACUUGAGGAAAGUUUUGCUAAUUUGUACCUAGAUGUCGCUGAUAAUUCAGAAGUGUAACACUGGCCUAUAAUAACCGACUUUUUUGUUUUUUUGGCCCUUUUUGUGAAAGAUUCUCACAAAUACGCUCCUGGCAGAACCAUUUCAAAAUCUGGACCCUCAGCUUGGCGCCAUCCACGCUGGCGCCAAGCUUACACGCCAUCCUGACGCCAAGGUCCAUGCGCAGAAGCUGUUGACGCGGACACCAGAGCUUGGCGCCAUCCAUCAUGGCGCCAAGCCUUGGCACCGUGGAUCUUGGUGCCAAGCUUGCCACCCUACAUCUUGGCGCCGAGCAAUUUUCCCCGUACCUCUUGGGUUUCGAAUGAAACAAAUAUAAUUAUUCCGAGAAAUAUGCAACAAAUUAUGCUAUAGUUCAACUAACUAUGAUGUGGACUUCUUAUCCUAGAGACUUGAGUUCAAACCCUAUGUUGAAUCUUUUUUCUACAUUUUAUUUUUUUACUCCCUCCCAGAGGCCAAGUUUUGAUUCUUUUUAGCUGGCGUGACAUGCAUGUUCGCGUACGAGUACGGUUAGACUGACAGGUAUUCGCUUUUUUGUCGAUUUAUUUGACUGAAAGAAUCUUCACUUGUAUUUUUCUCAUGUUUCAUGCAUUGUAAGGAUAUCUUUAUAAACAAAAGUGGAGAAGGAAUCCUAUGGGAACUUUAAUUUUGAAUCUGAUGAUUCAAAAAAAUAUAAUAGUUUGUAUCAAAUCACUCAGAAUAAUUUUAAUUUGUUCUACUAGCUAGUUAGCUACUGUGAAUCUGCUGGCCGUUGGAAAUUGGAGCGGCACGGUCCUAAUUUGGUUUAUUUGCAUGGGCCACUGAAAGCUGAUCGAAGCUCUCGUUGCAUAAUCUAGUUUGUGAUUUAUGCACUGUAAUGAUUCAUCGAUUUAGUUAGCAAUCGCAUAACCUUUUUGCGAGCUAGACAUUGUUAUCAGGCUGUCCCAAAUUUCACUGAAUGUUAAGCCAAAUGCCUGCUUUUCCAAACGUCCACCCUUCAGAGAAAAAAAAUAAAAUAUAGAAAAAAAAUUUCAACACAGGGAUAAGAAGCCCAUAUCCUAGCCAGUUGAACCGCAGCAUAGUUUGUUGCACACUCCUCGGAAUAAUUAUAUUUGUUUUAUUCGAACCCAAGAGGUACGGGGAAAAUUGUUUGGUGCCAAGAUGUACGGCGGCAAGCUUGGUGCUGGCGCCAAGGCUUGGCGCCAUGAUGGAUGGCGGCAAGCCCCCGCCACAUCGGCGUCCACGUUAGCAGCUGUGCAUGGACCAUGGCGCCAGGAUGGCUGGCACCGAGACGUGUAAGCUUGGCACCAGCAUGGAUGGCGCCAAGCUGAGGGUUCAGAUUUUGAAAUGGUUCUGCCAGGAGCGUAUUUAGGAGAAUGUUUCAAAAAAGGGGCAAAAAAAAGACUUGAAGUCUUGAACUACAAUUUGAUUGAGCUGGGUUGUACUCUUUUUUUCCUAUCUAGGAUUUUUUCAUGAGGUGUGAGUUUUACCUAGAUAGGUUUUUAAUGAGGCAGCCAUUGCACCAGCUCAAAUUUAUAAGUUAUAAUCUCCUGUCUCUCUCUGUGAUGUUGAUCUGUGAUUUUGUGAAGUUGAAGUUUAAGAUGAUUUUAAUCUGUUGAAGUUAAAUAUGUUGUUCUUUUGAGGAUGAAUAACUUAUGUUGUUCAGUUUAAGUGGUCAUUGACCUUUAGUGCCUGCCGUGCCACCGCGGCACGGUCGUCAUGCCGAGCUUGAGCUGCCUGUUCGGCAUGACGGCACGACACGGCACGGAACAAGCAUCGUGCCAUUUCGUGCUAGGACCGGGCUAGGGCCGGGCGGCCCAUUUGGAAAUCUAUAGGGAGGCUGAAGAAGCUAAGGCCAGUGCUGGGCGGGCUGAGGUCCGUGCAGCUCCGGAUGCAGCUGAACUCUCAGGUGAAACUGUCAUCUUUUCAUCAGUCGCUUCUGAAGAGCUUGGGAUGUCUACGCUGCUCGCCUCUGCGCUGCACCAUUGGUUGCUACGCGCACUUCUGGCCAGCGUGAGUGGUUGGCGCCGUCCUGCGGUGGCGGAGCCUGUCGGCGCCGGGGGAGAAGGGCAAGGGGAUUAAUGACUGCGACGAAGGCUGCCGGAGCGGGUGAUUUCAUUUCCGUUCCUCGGCUUCGAAAUGGCAGAGACGGAUCCUUCUUUGAUUUCCAAAUUAUUCUAGCUUCCAAAUUCCAUCUCAAAUCUCCACGGGAAGGCUUCGACAUGGCGUCAUGGCCGCGGCGAGCUUGAUCCUUACGGUACGUGAUCCGUAGCGUGGCCUGGCAGAGGCGGCGCCGCCGUGCAAGGGGAUCUGGAGAAAAUCGACGGAGGGAAGCGCGGAAGCACAGUGGGAUCGCCGGCGGCAGCGCAACCGACCCCGCCGCCGUCCGGCUGCCGUCGUCGUCACACAAUAUUUGCAGAGAGCCCCCGGUUUGGAUCGCGGUUAUCCAAAUAUCUGCAAAUAGACCCCGGCUAAUCUACACAGACCCCUAAUUUGCCACGAUCCGAUAUAUAUAUACAUUUACACCCUUACAUUUUACAAAGUACCCUCCAGAUUGGAUCGCGAUUAAUACUCACGAUCCUAUUAUUUGCAGAAACACCCCUGGUCGGAUACGCUCAUCCUCCCGAGUCCUGGCCGUCCGCCGCCGUCGCCGUUCUCCCCGCCCUCCACACCCAUCGGAAGAGCAACGCCACAUCCUACCCAAAAAUCCGCCGCUCAAGUCCCACCUAUCCGCUCCCACAGCUGCGCGCCGUCCGCCGGGGUUGGGCGUGGCAGCUUAGCUUUGAUCUCCUCCCGGACCUCGUCAGCGCAGGCGGUGGCACUGGCGACGGCCGUAGUAGCCCGCGUACGUGCUAGCUAUCCUUCCGUGUGCCGCGAUGCAUUUCAUCGCCGGCGUGUGCGGCCGGCGGUCUCGGUGCCCCGUUCACCGUCUGGCGACUGAUGACUGAUCCUGUGCAGAGGAUCACAAGAUGCCGCCGCGCUGAAUGUUCAGCGUUGCGAUUAGGAAUUUUUAUUUUUUUUAAUACAAAAAAUUAACGUAAUUACAUAUUAAUACGUUAGAUGAGUAAAAUUUCAAAAAUAUACUACCCAGUAGACGAAAUCUGCUCGAUGGACGAAAAAGAGAGAUUUUGUCUACUAGGUAGACGAAAUAAGGAUUUCGUCGACCAACUAGAUGAAAAUAGGGUAAUUUCAUCUACCAAGCGAACGAAAUAUAAAUAAUCCAACCAAUUGACGAAAUAGUAAUCCAACUAACUGAUGAAAUAGUACGACGAAAUCUAGAUUUCGUUCACCCAUGAGAUGAAAAAUGAGAAUUCGUCUAGCGAGUGGACGAAAUUUAGUUCCAUUUGAAGAAAAAAAAAGACGCUUCAUCUGCUACUGCUACUGCCAGCAGGUAGCAGCUUCAGAACACAGUCACUUUAGCGAGAAAGAAUAUCAAGAGAGGAUUCUGCAGUCAACGAAGAGAUGCACAGCUUUUCAAGUUCAAAAUUUAACCUCAGCCAACUGUGCUAAGGCCACUAGGGAUACACAUCAAAAGCCCUUUUUAUUUCUAUUUUUUUUCCUAGAUCACGUAAUGCCAUAACUAAAUACUUCCUCCGUCCCAAAAUAUAGCUACUUUUAGAGUUUUUCAGACAGAUUAAGAAUGUAGGUUAAAAGUCUAUAUUGCCUCUCGUUAGAAUAAUUAUACCUUAUUUAACGGUGGUAGCCUUGCAUGCAGAUCUGCAUGUCAUAAUUGAUUUGCAUGGAAGGCAUUUUAGACCUCUUAUACCAAAUAAGCCACUUGGGGAUUCAAGAAAUAGCUAUAUUAUAGGAUAAAAUUUAAAUGAUAGAAGUAGCUAUAUUUUGGGAUGUUUAAAUGCACAUAUUCUGGCUUAUCUCCAGAAUGUCUAUAACUUUGCAUGUCACAGGAUGGAUUAGGUUGAUGCCCUGCUCUGCAAAGUAUCGCCCAGAAAAAUACGCUGGCCGCAUGGACGCCCACGCGCCUGUGCCGCUGGCCACCGGGACGCCCGUGCGCCGUGCGCCGCCUGCCGCCUGAGCACCGCGCGCCCGCGCGCCGCUGGCCGCCUGCGCGCACGCAUCGCUCCCCUGCGCGUUCGCCUGCUGCGCCGCCGGCCGCCGAGAGAGAGAUAGGGUAGGGAGAGAGAGAGUGAGAGAGCGUCGGGAGAUGACAAAUACCAGGGAGAUUUCGUCCAACGGGUAGACUAAAUUUGCUUACUUCGUCUCAUGGGCCGACGAAGUAUGGUAAUUUCGUCCAGCGGGCUGACGAAAACAUCAGGCCCACAACAUUUUCGUCUGGAUUACAUAAGAUCGCCUCAUGACCCGACGAAUUCAUUAUUUCGUCCGUUGGUUCGACGAAAUCACUAAAUUUCGUCCACUGACCGGAAAAAAAAUAGAAUUUCGUCUAUUGGGCAGGCGACUGGGGUAUAUUUUUGAGAUUUCUAAGAUCUGGCAUAUUAAUUACGUUAAUUUUUCGUAUUAAAAAAAUAAAAAAAUCUUGCGAUUAGGAGGCGAUUUCCUAGCUUUCAAAGGAUUCAGGUGCCGAUUUGAUUGUCAAAGAGACAUAAUUUAGCAUGAUGAUACACUCAUACCUGUUGCAGUUGCAGCAACAGAUGAUCAGCAGGACAUUGCAGAGUGCUUCUGCACAGCAGCACCUGCAUAUGCUGAAAGGUUCAACUCAUCCUAGGAAAUUAUUAAGAAUCGACUCAGUGCAUUACAAAUUAAAGCAAAGAAGAAUGUCUUGUGACGACUAACUGUGUCAGCAUGAUGAAAUGAUAUGUUUCAAGACAUCAGCAACCUUUGGACCCUGGAUUGGGUAAGAAGGGAAUGUGGGAUCGCAUGAAAUUCAUGGAGCUAUUUACAAAUCCCAAGAUUCUUGUUUGCUGAAUUUGUUCUGAGCAGGUCUGGAGCCCAAGACUGAUGCCAUAAUCUGCAAAAGAUUAUACAACUAAUGCAAAAAAAAACAUUAUAAGGCUACUAAGCGGAAAAAAAUGUGUUUCAUAGUUUAAGACAUCAAUACUUGAAAUUCAGUAGUAUGAUAUACCUAAUGAAGUCCUUGCCCAACUCAGGCUAGUCCCACCCAGGUCAUGCAAGCAGCAGUACAGGAGCCUUUUGAAAUUCAGAGUUUUACCGCCUUUUGGAAGCACAGUGGCGAGGGAGCGACGACGGGAAGCACAGUGGCGGGGGAGUACCGAGGUCGCCGGCGGCAGCGACCCCGCCGCCGUCCGGCUGCCGUCUUCGGCACACAAUAUUUGCAUUCAAAAAGACCCCUGGUUCGGAUACGCCCAUCCUCUCGGGGCCGUCCGCCGCCGUCGCCGUGCUCCCUGCCCUCCACCCCCGUCGGAAGGGCAACGGCGCAACGCUGCAUCCUACCCACAAAUCCCCCGCUCAAAUCUCAGCCAUCCGCUCCCACAGCUGCGCGACGUCCGCCGGGGUUUUUUUAAGGAAUGUGGAUCCAUCUGAAGAACACAGAUGACAGAUGCCCGUGUUUUUUUAUUUCCUUUUUCUCAUGUACUCAGCCUUUUUGUUUACAUACUGGCUUGGGCUUGUUUUUUAUUCCUUUUCUCAUGUACCGGUUUGUCGUAGAGUUUCAUAAUAGACUGAAGCUUCCUUAAUCUUCUCAUCCUCGUUUUGUUUGGAAGAAGUCAUUGAAUAAAGCCGAUGAAAAGAGUCGUCAACCAAGCAAGAAAGGAUGCUACAGUUUCACUCUCCCCGGUGCAAGAGGUUCGUGCAUGAUCAGAUAAAUGAGAUGAUACAAAUAUAAUGACGGUAAAUUACACACAUCCAAAUUUCCCUGCAGUUUGGGCAUCACGUCACACCGCAAGCAGUCCCUCCAGUUCGCGGCCAAUCACCACUUCCAGAAAACGUUGGAGCCGCACUUGUACUUCUCCUUGCCCUCGCACUCGAUCUCGAGGUCGUCGCUGAUGAACGGCACUUUCUGCAAGGCGUAUACAGAUGAGGAUUCAGAAUUUCAGAUCAUCUGUGUGAGAGAUGAGCUAUGAAUAUGAUUGCGAUGAGGACCUUCUGCUUGGCGAGGUCCUGGCAGCCGGUGAAGUUGUAGGGGAACUGGCAGCUGCCGAACUCCACGGUGUAGGCGCGCGCGAAGUUGGCGCCGCUGGUGGCAAGCCUCUUCUUGUCGUUCAGCUCCUGACCAUCGUAGCACAAACCACAAAUGUAAUCUUGUCAGCUUUCACUUUCAGACAAAUAAAUAACAAAGCAACAAUUCUGAAAUAAAUGAAGAAACUGAUGACGACCUUGUUGGCCUUGCUCUUCUCGAGGUACUCGUCGAUGAUCCCGGCCUUGGCCGACCCGGUGGUGGCGGUGACGGCGAAGACGGCCGCCAGGCCGAGCAGCGCGGCGCGCCGGCCCUCGGCGGCCCGCUCCUUGGGCGCGACCUGCACCCGCUUCGCCGCCGAGGCGGCCUGCGGCACCGCCGCGGCGGGCUUGAGCCCGACGACGCUGGAUGAGCUCACGCCGGCCAUGACCUUCUCCUUGACUUGGUGUGGUAUGGCUGUGGCUGUGCGUGCUUGGUUGGCAGCAAGGAGAGUGGGUCGGCGAUGGUUUUGUUUUUGAUCGUGGGUGGCAGACGCUUGUGGAGGGAGAAUAGGUUGUGGUGGGCGUGUGGAUAGGGUGAGGCUGCUGCGACCCC
rnacentral:lncRNA from 1 species